rnacentral:rRNA from 1 species
AUUGAACGCUGGCGGCAGGCCUAACACAUGCAAGUCGAACGAGUGGCGGACGGGUGAGUAGUGUCUGGGAAACUGCCCGAUGGAGGGGGAUAACUACUGGAAACUGUAGCUAAUAGCGCACACGCUCGGUUGUGCACAGAUGGGAUUAGCUUGUAGGUGGGGUAGCGGCUCACCUAGGCGACGAUCCCUAGCUGGUCUGAGAGGAUGACCAGCCAAACUGGAACUGAGACACGGUCCAGACUCCUACGGGAGGCAGCAGUGGGGAACAUUGCACAAUGGGCGCAAGCCUGAUGCAGCCAUGCCGCGUGUAUGAAGAAGGCCUUCGGGUUGUAAAGUACUUUCAGCGGGGAGGCGUUACUCGCAGAAGAAGCACCGGCUAACUCCGUGCCAGCAGCCGCGGUAAUUC